CUACGGGAGGCAGCAGUGGGGAAUAUUGCACAAUGGGCGCAAGCCUGAUGCAGCCAUGCCGCGUGUAUGAAGAAGGCCUUCGGGUUGUAAAGUACUUUCAGCGGGGAGGAAGGGAGUAAAGUUAAUACCUUUGCUCAUUGACGUUACCCGCAGAAGAAGCACCGGCUAACUCCGUGCCAGCAGCCGCGGUAAUACGGAGGGUGCAAGCGUUAAUCGGAAUUACUGGGCGUAAAGCGCACGCAGGCGGUUUGUUAAGUCAGAUGUGAAAUCCCCGGGCUCAACCUGGGAACUGCAUCUGAGACUGGCAAGCCGGAGUCUCGUAGAGGGGGGUAGAAUUCCAGGUGUAGCGGUGAAAUGCGUAGAGAUCUGGAGGAAUACCGGUGGCGAAGGCGGCCCCCUGGACGCAGACUGACGCUCAGGUGCGAAAGCGUGGGGAGCAAACAGGAUUAGAUACCCCCGUAGUC
rnacentral:rRNA from 1 species